rnacentral:rRNA from 1 species
AUAAUGGGUCAGCGACUUAUAUUCUGUAGCAAGGUUAACCGAAUAGGGGAGCCGAAGGGAAACCGAGUCUUAACUGGGCGUUAAGUUGCAGGGUAUAGACCCGAAACCCGGUGAUCUAGCCAUGGGCAGGUUGAAGGUUGGGUAACACUAACUGGAGGACCGAACCGACUAAUGUUGAAAAAUUAGCGGAUGACUUGUGGCUGGGGGUGAAAGGCCAAUCAAACCGGGAGAUAGCUGGUUCUCCCCGAAAGCUAUUUAGGUAGCGCCUCGUGAAUUCAUCUCCGGGGGUAGAGCACUGUUUCGGCAAGGGGGUCAUCCCGACUUACCAACCCGAUGCAAACUGCGAAUACCGGAGAAUGUUAUCACGGGAGACACACGGCGGGUGCUAACGUCCGUCGUGAAGAGGGAAACAACCCAGACCGCCAGCUAAGGUCCCAAAGUCAUGGUUAAGUGGGAAACGAUGUGGGAAGGCCCAGACAGCCAGGAUGUUGGCUUAGAAGCAGCCAUCAUUUAAAGAAAGCGUAAUAGCUCACUGGUCGAGUCGGCCUGCGCGGAAGAUGUAACGGGGCUAAACCAUGCACCGAAGCUGCGGCAGCGACGCUGAUGCGUUGUUGGGUAGGGGAGCGUUCUGUAAGCCUGUGAAGGUGUGCUGUGAGGCAUGCUGGAGGUAUCAGAAGUGCGAAUGCUGACAUAAGUAACGAUAAAGCGGGUGAAAAGCCCGCUCGCCGGAAGACCAAGGGUUCCUGUCCAACGUUAAUCGGGGCAGGGUGAGUCGACCCCUAAGGCGAGGCCGAAAGGCGUAGUCGAUGGGAAACAGGUUAAUAUUCCUGUACUUGGUGUUACUGCGAAGGGGGGACGGAGAAGGCUAUGU